GCCUACGGGGCGCAGCAGUGGGGGAUAUUGCACAAUGGGGGAAACCCUGAUGCAGCGACGCCGCGUGGGUGAAGAAGCGCCUCGGCGCGUAAAGCCCUGUCAGCAGGGAAGAAAAUGACGGUACCUGAAGAAGAAGCCCCGGCUAACUACGUGCCAGCAGCCGCGGUGAUACGUAGGGGGCAAGCGUUAUCCGGAUUUAUUGGGUUUAAAGGGUGCGUAGGCGGAUUUUUAAGUCAGCGGUAAAAUGUCCGGGCUCAACCCGGGCCGGCCGUUGAAACUGGGGAUCUUGAGGGGGCGAGAAGAAU
rnacentral:rRNA from 1 species